GAGCAUGGGGCAGCUACCAUGCAGUCGAGCGGUAGCACAGGGAGCUUGCUCCUGGGUGACGAGCGGCGGACGGGUGAGUAAUGUCUGGGAAACUGCCUGAUGUAGGGGGAUAACUACUGGAAACGGUAGCUAAUACCGCUUAACGUCUACUGACCCCAGUGGGGGACCUUCGGGCCUCACGCCAUCACAUGUGCCCCUAUGGGAUUAGCUACUACGUGGGGUAAUGGCUCACCUACGCGACUAUCCCUAGCUGGUCUGAGAGGAUGACCACCCACACUGGAACUGAGACACGGUCCAUACUCCUACGGGAGGGACCACUGGGGAAUAUUGCACAAUGGGCACAUCCCUGAUGCACCCAUGUCUCGUGUGUGAAAAAAGCCUUUGGGUUGUGAAGCACUUUUUCCGCGGAGGAAAGGUUCAGUGUUUACAUGACCGUUCAUUGUCGUGACU
rnacentral:rRNA from 1 species